GACGAACGCUGGCGGCGUGCUUAACACAUGCAAGUCGAACGGAAAGGCCCUGCUUUUGUGGGGUGCUCGAGUGGCGAACGGGUGAGUAACACGUGAGUAACCUGCCCUUGACUUUGGGAUAACUUCAGGAAACUGGGGCUAAUACCGGAUAGGAGCUCCUGCUGCAUGGUGGGGGUUGGAAAGUUUCGGCGGUUGGGGAUGGACUCGCGGCUUAUCAGCUUGUUGGUGGGGUAGUGGCUUACCAGGGCUUUGACGGGUAGCCGGCCUGAGAGGGGGAACGGCCACAUUGGGACUGAGAUACGGCGCAGACUCCUACGGGAGGCAGCAGUGGGGAACAUUGCACAAUGGGCGGAAGCCUGAUGCAGCAACGCCGCGUGCGGGAUGACGGCCUUCGGGUUGUAAACCGCUUUCGCCUGUGACGAAGCGUGAGUGACGGUAAUGGGUAAAGAAGCACCGGCUAACUACGUG
rnacentral:rRNA from 1 species